UACGUAGGGUCCGAGCGUUGUCCGGAAUUACUGGGCGUAAAGAGCUCGUAGGCGGUUUGUCGCGUCUGCUGUGAAAACUGGAGGCUCAACCUCCAGCCUGCAGUGGGUACGGGCAGACUAGAGUGCGGUAGGGGAGAUUGGAAUUCCUGGUGUAGCGGUGGAAUGCGCAGAUAUCAGGAGGAACACCGAUGGCGAAGGCAGAUCUCUGGGCCGUAACUGACGCUGAGGAGCGAAAGCAUGGGGAGCGAACAGG
rnacentral:rRNA from 1 species